rnacentral:rRNA from 1 species
AGAGUUUGAUCAUGGCUCAGGACGAACGCUGGCGGCGUGCUUAACACAUGCAAGUCGAACGGAGGUUACUUUGAAACGCAAGUAGAUAGGUAACCUUAGUGGCGGACGGGUGAGUAACGCGUGGAUAACCUGCCUGAAUGACCGGGACAACACCGGGAAACUGGUGCUAAUACCGGAUACGCUCUUUAGAGCACAUGCUUUUGAGAGGAAAGGAGCAAUCCGCAUACAGAUGGGUCCGCGUCCCAUUAGCUAGUUGGGGGUGUAAGAGACCACCAAGGCGACGAUGGGUAGCCGGCCUGAGAGGGUGGACGGCCACACUGGAACUGAGACACGGUCCAGACUCCUACGGGAGGCAGCAGUGGGGAAUCUUCCGCAAUGGGCGCAAGCCUGACGGAGCAACGCCGCGUGAGUGAAGAAGGCCUUCGGGUUGUAAAGCUCUGUCUUCAGGGAAGAAAAAAAUGACGGUACCUGAGGAGGAAGCCCCGGCUAACUACGUGCCAGCAGCCGCGGUAAAACGCAGGGGGCGAGCGUUGUCCGGAAUUACUGGGCGUAAAGGGCGCGUAGGCGGUCAUUUAAGUCAGAGGUGAAAACUACCGGCUUAACCGGUAGCCUGCCUUUGAAACUGGGUGACUUGAGGGCAGGAGAGGGGAGUGGAAUUCCCAGUGUAGCGGUGAAAUGCGUAGAUAUUGGGAGGAACACCAGUGGCGAAAGCGGCUCUCUGGCCUGUUUCUGACGCUGAGGCGCGAAAGCGUGGGGAGCGAACGGGAUUAGAUACCCCGGUAGUCCACGCCGUAAACGAUGGGUGCUAGGUGUAGGAGGUAUCGACCCCUUCUGUGCCGUAGUUAACACAAUAAGCACCCCGCCUGGGGAGUACGGCCGCAAGGUUGAAACUCAAAUGAAUUGACGG